AUUGCACAGCACAACAACAUCUUUACACGCCACUUCCACACAUGUCAGCAGAGGUCUCAACCAGAACAGGCCGUGCGAUAGAACAGUUAUGGUGGCACUUGACUUAUCAAAAGCCUUUGAUACAGUCAAUCAUGCCACACUGUUCGAGGACAUUGAGCGCACCGCCCUCCAGCCAAGUUUGAAACGUUGGAUAGUAAACUACAUGUGUGGACGCCAGUCGUACGUGGAGUUCAGAAACAAGAAGUCGAGCAUCCAUAGAGUUAAACAGGGAGUUCACCAAGGUGAACAAGGUAUUGACAGCUUGGGUGCCACCACCAUCCGUGGAUCCGGCACGCAUCCUGACAAUACUGGGCAAGCAGAACCUCAACCUCAAAACGGACAACUGGCGUCUUGUCAGUUCAAACACUGAGGGAGGGAGCCUGGUCAUCAAGGUAUCUAUGGAUACGGAUGGCCAGGAAUACCUUCAAGCUCGUGGGGGAAAACUGCAUUUCGGCGCUGGAUGGAUCCGUGUAUUGUUGCCAAAAAGAGUUUAAACCUUAUCUUCCUUAGCAACUACAGUGGAGGAGACGUUAUGGUAGCGAAAUUGGAGUCCGGGAGGGUUCACAUUUUCAUAUCUCUCUAUCUACCGUACGAGCGACCUGACCCACCUGGACAUGAAGUAGAGGAGCUGCUCGAAGAUCUGGCUGACAAAGGGCAUUUAAUCAUAGGUUGUGAUGCCAACGCACACCACUUCCAAUGGGGCAGCAACGAUACCAACGUCAGAGGUCCUCAAUCUGUCGUUAGCCACCCUAGUAGUUCCCGAUGCCUGGAAAAUGGGCAGGGUGGUCCCGCUACUGAAGCCAGGCAAGGAUGCCAGCAAAAGUUAUUCAUACAGGCCGAUAUUACUUUUGUCACCAGUAGCAAAGACGCUUGAGGCUUUACUCCUCCCCAGCAUAGAAGAGUGUCUCCCAGUAGCCGAUCAUCAAUUGCACAGCACAACAACAUCUUUACACGCCACUUCCACACAUGUCAGCAGAGGUCUCAACCAGAACAGGCCGUGCGAUAGAACAGUUAUGGUGGCACUUGACUUAUCAAAAGCCUUUGAUACAGUCAAUCAUGCCACACUGUUCGAGGACAUUGAGCGCACCGCCCUCCAGCCAAGUUUGAAACGUUGGAUAGUAAACUACAUGUGUGGACGCCAGUCGUACGUGGAGUUCAGAAACAAGAAGUCGAGCAUCCAUAGAGUUAAACAGGGAGUUCACCAAGGUGAACAAGGUAUUGACAGCUUGGGUGCCACCACCAUCCGUGGAUCCGGCACGCAUCCUGACAAUACUGGGCAAGCAGAACCUCAACCUCAAAACGGACAACUGGCGUCUUGUCAGUUCAAACACUGAGGGAGGGAGCCUGGUCAUCAAGGUAUCUAUGGAUACGGAUGGCCAGGAAUACCUUCACGCUCGUGGGGGAAAACUGCAUUUCGGCGCUGGAUGGAUCCGUGUAUUGUUGCCAAAAAGAGUUUAAACCUUAUCUUCCUUAGCAACUACAGUGGAGGAGACGUUACGGUAGCGAAAUUGGAGUCCGGGAGGGUUCACAUUUUCAUAUCUCUCUAUCUACCGUACGAGCGACCUGACCCACCUGGACAUGAAGUAGAGGAGCUGCUCGAAGAUCUGGCUGACAAAGGGCAUUUAAUCAUAGGUUGUGAUGCCAACGCACACCACUUCCAAUGGGGCAGCAACGAUACCAACGUCAGAGGAAGAACACAAUGGACCUAUAGGUCUCCGAGUGGAGCGGUUGCCAUAUGGCAAUCGCGCGUCCUUUAACCUAACCUAACCUAAGGUGGGGUGAUAUCUCCGGAACUGUUUAACCUCUACCUAUCUGACAUUCCACGCCCUCCAGACGGCAUAAAAAUUAUAAUGUACGCAGAUUAUUGUACGCUCGUGACGUCCGGACCCAUUAUUGAUGACAUUUGCGAUCGAUUAAACGCUUACCUUGUUGAUCCUACCGCCUUUUUCACUGCGAGGAAUAUGAAGAUAUCAGCCACUAAGUCGAUGGCCACACUUUUCACCACAUGGACUGCGGAGAUGGGGCUAUCCUUGAAUGUGCAGGUCGAUUGUGCUAUAAUUCCGACCACCAACUACACCAAGGUAUUAGGGGUCACAUUCGAUAGCCUCUUUAAGUCGUCCGCGCAUACCACAGCUAUCUGCGACAAGAUUAGAAGUAGGAACAAGGUCCUCAAGUCUCUGACCGGCAGUACUUGGGGAGCUGAUAAGGAAACCUUGUUGACCUCUUACAACGCGAUAGGCCUAUGGUCUGUGGUGAACUAUGCGGCUCCGUUGUGGUCCGCCAACGUCAGUGCUACGCACAGGGUGCCUUCUCAUGACACCUGUCGAGGAGGCGAAGGUCUUACAGGUGCGACAGCAUAACAAAAUGCUGUUAAUGCAAUACCUGCUUGGCCAUCCGAAUCUCCAUCUUGUGGAUAGACAACCUCCGCCCAGGCACGUUAGGAAAGACCUUCAUGAUCUAGAGAGAGAGGUACAGAGGUAUAAGAGAGAGCCUCUAGAUCAACAGGCCUAUCAAGCGGGACUGAAUAGUAUUCACUCUAAUGCGGUCUCAGAAGCCAUUGAAGGAUAUAGAGUGAAUACUGUGCUAGGAGACCAUCCCCCUCCCGUCGCAGCUGAAGAACGAGAGCCGCCCCGACAAACCCGAGUAUCUUUAGGUCAAUUACAAUCCGGAUGGUACAGCCGCCUAAAUUUCUACUGGGCCCGGAUUAACAGCGACAUGCAGAACAUCUACCUAGCAUAAGCACAGGCCCACUUGACACGCUGCAUCUAUUUCGCUGCCCAGCCAAGCCUACUCACCUAACUCCAGUCUCGUUAUGGACACAACCCAUACAGGUUGCAUGCUUAUUGAGAAUGAACUUAGGGGCAGAACCUGAUUGAAUGGAGUCAGAAAAAUGGAAAUCGAGCUGCUACAACAACAACAGAGGGUCUGAGGAACUCAUGGGAAGCAUACGCUCGACCCAGACUUUAACAUCGGUACACGUCAGAGGAUUUGGCAGCAAAUUCGGGACGGAACGUAUGCUCGAAGUCUUUGGAAGGCAUAAUAAGACUUUGGACGUGAAUAGAUGGGAAAUCUUUCACAGGGAGCAGAGGAAGGAUGGCACUCUCCUUGUGAUUAGACUUGACGAUCUCUCCAUGGCCAGUCUGACAAAGACUAAGGGCAUGGCAUUCUAUGUCUCGAACGCUGUCAGGUUCAAAAAUAAUAAGGUGAGGAUCGGAGAUGAAGACACCGAGUGUAGCUGUGAGGAGAAGAAAGAAGACCACCCAAGCAACACAGAACAGGGAGUCGGUAACAAAAUUACCGACUCUCAAGAAGCCCGUCUACUGGAGGACCAAUGAUCGAGGUCAUCCAGAUCAACCUUCAUCGGAUGGCUCUGAUGAAACUAAUCAAUUCAGGGUCUCGACAAAAUGGAUAUGGUCGGUGCAUGUUUUGGCAUGGUCCCCUCACAACGUACCUCCCGAAUAAGAGUUAUUUGCCCAAUUCUUGUCACAUUUCACGUCAGAUUGUUCUGUUAUUUGACAUUUUACGUUCUAAAGAGUUAAAGAAUAAUCUUACUGAAAAGUAUUUGGAACGGCCCGCCUUCAGGUAGA